UACGUAGGGGGCAAGCGUUGUCCGGAAUCAUUGGGCGUAAAGCGCGUGUAGGCGGCCAGAAAAGUCCGCUGUGAAAACUCGAGGCUCAACCUCGAGCUGUCGGUGGAAACUUUCUGGCUAGAGUCCGGAAGAGGAGAAUGGAAUUCCUGGUGUAGCGGUGAAAUGCGCAGAUAUCAGGAGGAACACCAAUUGCGAAGGCAGCUCGCUGGGACGUUACUGACGCUGAGACGCGAAAGCGUGGGGAGCAAACAGG
rnacentral:rRNA from 1 species